rnacentral:rRNA from 1 species
AUUGAACGCUGGCGGCAGGCCUAACACAUGCAAGUCGAACGAGUGGCGGACGGGUGAGUACUGUCUGGGAAACUGACUGAUGGAGGGGGAUAACUACUGGAAACGGAAGCUAAUACCGCCUACCAUCGGAUGUGCCAAGCUGGGAUUGGCUAGUAGGUGGGGUAAAGGCUCACAUAGGCGACGAUCCCUAGCUGGUCUGAGAGGAUGACAACCCACACUGGAACUGGGACACGGCCCAGACUCCUACGGGAGGCAGAAGUGGGGAAUAUCUCACAAUGGGGGCAGGCCUGAUGCAGACAUGCCGCGUGUAGGAAGAAGGCCUUCGGGUUGUAAAGUACUUUCAGCGGGGAGGCGUUACCCGCAGAAUAAGCACCGGCUAACUACGUGCCAGCAGCCGCGGUAAUAC